UAACCGAUAUUUAGGAAUUCAAUAAUUACUCUCUUUCAGUAUGUUUUAUCAGAAUAUGUAUCUACCAAUGGUUUUAUCUCAAUUAGUUUAACAAUAGUUUUUGUUUUUGUUUUUUUUCAAAUGUAGGCACAGGAAAGUUUAUAUAUUUUAGUGUCUCUGGCAAAAUUUAAAAAGUCACUGUCACACUGGUAAGGAGUAAAGAUUAACGAAACCCGAAACUCAAAAUUGGAUCUCAGACUGAUGCCUCUAUCUAAACAAAACCUGAUUGUCAACAGCGUUCUCACCACAGAGGAUUUACAUUGAUGAGAUAGCACUUUUUUGCUCUGAACAUCGCUGGUAUUCAAACUGUGUCUCAACUCUGACAAAGAUGAGUGUAGUGAAGGUGAAGAAACACCUCAUACUGGAGGAGAAGAUACAGGCGAUCGACAUGAGUGAACAGGGGGCAUCUCAUAUUGCCAUUGCUAAAUACUUUGAUGUGUCAAAGACACAAAUCUCUAACUUAAUGAAAAGAAAAGAAGAGGUUAGAGCAAUUUGGAAUGAUGGCUGUGUCCAUCAGAAGAAAAUUCUAAAACCAUCAUUGAGGCACCCAGAGGUUGAAGAGGUCGUAGUAAAGUGGUUAUUACAAGCGAGGAAAAAUGGCAUUCAUGUGAAGAGAGAAUUUUUGCAGGCUAAAGUUAUUGCUGUGGCCUCUGAAUAUGGAGUUCCGUUUUCUCCCAGCAAUGGCUGGAUACAUAGUUUUAAAAAGCGACAUCAUUUAUAUACUGGAGAGAAUUUAGAUGAGUCUUUGUUCAAUGAUAGUACGGACAUGAAAGUGGAGCGAGAAAAAGAUGGAGACUCGUCUAAAGAUGAUGAGACCUUUAAUUGUUCACAACAUAAUAUCACAAAGAAUGAGCAAAUGCUGUCUGGAUUAAGGAACACAGAAGGGGCAAAGUCCACAGAAAAACUGCCAACCGGUGACUUACGAAAAGGUCUACUGAAAAAAAGGAAAAGAUCUAGUGAACCCGGCAGUGGAUUAGACAAGCAGCAUAAAUCUAGUGAACCCGGCAAUGGAUUAGACAAGCAGCAUAAAUCUAGUGAACCCGGCAAUGGAUUAGACAAGCAGCAUAAAUCUAGUGAACCCGGCAGUGGAUUAGACAAGCAGCAUAAAUCGACGAAGAUAAUGGCAAGGGAUUUACAACAUUUUGCAAUGGGAGGAGCUCAGGCUGAAGGAGAUGAAAGGCCUGCAGCAUUCGAUGUUGAGGACAGUUAUGAGCUGGAAAAUGUGUUUGUUUGUCUUGGUGCAGGACUUUUUUUUAAAGCUCGUCCAAGGCCUGUUUAUCUUCAGAAGAAAAAGCAGUGUGCAGAUGGCCGGCAGGCAGACCAACGCAUCUCAAUGGUACUCAUGUGCAGCGGAGUUGGAGAGAAAUUCUCUCCUCUUAUAGUAGGACGCUGUCAAACUUUAUCCCUCUCACCGGGUCUUUUACCGGUCAAAUUUAUGCCUGAGUAUGCAGCUCACAGUAAAUCAUGGCUCACACAGAGUAUCUUUAAGAACUAUUUGUCUCGACUUAACGAAAAGUUGUCACACGAGGAAAGACACAUAGUGUUACUGUUGCAUCCAGGUGUCCCUGCUUUGGGUACUUCUUAUAGCCACAUCAAGACUUUGCCUAUCAAUAGUUCUUCAGCAGGGAUUUUCUACACAGAUAUUGUUCACCCUCUAAAAGUUUGCUAUCGCAAGAAGUUUCUGAGACACUUACUGAGCUUGAAAUACCAGUCAGUCUCAACUUCUGAUCUUGCCAAGCAGGUGACGGUACUAGAUGCCAUAGUGUGGCUUCGUUCUGCUUGGGAGGGCGUGUCACCGUCUUUUAUCUCCAAGGCUUUCCUUCGAUGUGGCCUGAACGGUGUUCAAUUGGAAGUAACGGAAGGCACAGAAGCACCAGCCCAAGCUUCUGCGGAAGAGGACGGGAAAGCUCUGUUGCCAGAUGGGGUUUCUUUCAACGAUUUUGCAAAAAUAGCUGGCCGACGAAUGAGCUUACGUUCCACAAGUGAAGCCAAAAACAGCAACUUUCCCUUGUGAUAAUUUUGUCACAUACAGUGGAUGGUUGGCUCUGGUGUGGUUUCAAAUACAGUAGUCUCCACCUAAGAUCCGGGUGCUUGGGAGCAAGGAAAAAAUGCAGGAUCUUAGGCGAACCGGGAUCUUAACCGAAUGGCCAGAGGGAAGAAUCCACAGUAACUCAUGAUGAUCAUCUGACCACUUUUGACCCAUCAGAGGGUGAAGGGAGGGAAGGAGAGUCUGUGGUGGAAGCAGAGGAAGAUGUUCC
rnacentral:misc_RNA from 1 species